rnacentral:rRNA from 1 species
CUUCCGUAGGGUGAACCUGCGGAAGGAUCAUUAAAGAUUAUGAAUGAAUAGAUUACUGGGGGAAUCGUCUGAACAAGGCCUGCGCUUAAUUGCGCGGCCAGUUCUUGAUUCUCUGCUAUCAGUUUUCUAUUUCUCAUCCUAAACACAAUGGAGUUUUUUCUCUAUGAACUACUUCCCUGGAGAGCUCGUCUCUCCAGUGGACAUAAACACAAACAAUAUUUUGUAUUAUGAAAAACUAUUAUACUAUAAAAUUUAAUAUUCAAAACUUUCAACAACGGAUCUCUUGGUUCUCGCAUCGAUGAAGAACGCAGCGAAUUGCGAUAUGUAUUGUGAAUUGCAGAUUUUCGUGAAUCAUCAAAUCUUUGAACGCACAUUGCGCCCUCUGGUAUUCCAGGGGGCAUGCCUGUUUGAGCGUCAUUUCUCUCUCAAACCUUUGGGUUUGGUAGUGAGUGAUACUCGUCUCGGGUUAACUUGAAAGUGGCUAGCCGUUGCCAUCUGCGUGAGCAGGGCUGCGUGUCAAGUCUAUGGACUCGACUCUUGCACAUCUACGUCUUAGGUUUGCGCCAAUUCGUGGUAAGCUUGGGUCAUAGAGACUCAUAGGUGUUAUAAAGACUCGCUGGUGUUUGUCUCCUUGAGGCAUACGGCUUUAACCAAAACUCUCAAAGUUUGACCUCAAAUCAGGUAGGAGUACCCGCUGAACUUAAGCAUAUCAAUAAGCGGAGGAA